rnacentral:rRNA from 1 species
UACGGAGGGGGCGAGCGUUGUCCGGAUUUAUUGGGCGUAAAGAGCUCGUAGGCGGCUUGUCGCGUCGAUCGUGAAAACUUGGGGCUUAACCCUGAGCUUGCGGUCGAUACGGGCAUGACUGGAGUUCGGCAGGGGAGACUGGAAUUCCUGGUGUAGCGGUGAAAUGCGCAGAUAUCAGGAGGAACACCGGUGGCGAAGGCGGGUCUCUGGGCCGAUACUGACGCUGAGGAGCGAAAGCGUGGGGAGCGAACAGG